rnacentral:rRNA from 1 species
GACGAACGCUGGCGGCGUGCUUAACACAUGCAAGUCGUACGGUAAGGCCCUUUCGGGGGUACACGAGUGGCGAACGGGUGAGUAACACGUGAGUAACCUGCCCACAACUUUGGGAUAACGCUAGGAAACUGGUGCUAAUACUGGAUAUGUGCUCCUGCUGCAUGGUGGGGGUUGGAAAGCUCCGGCGGUUGUGGAUGGACUCGCGGCCUAUCAGCUUGUUGGUGGGGUAGUGGCCUACCAAGGCGGCGACGGGUAGCCGGCCUGAGAGGGUGACCGGCCACAUUGGGACUGAGAUACGGCACAGACUCCUACGGGAGGCAGCAGUGGGGAAUAUUGCACAAUGGGCGCAAGCCUGAUGCAGCAACGCCGCGUGCGGGAGGACGGCCUUCGGGUUGUAAACCGCUUUCAGCAGGGACGAAGCUUUUUGUGACGGUACCUGCAGAAGAAGCACCGGCUAACUACGUG